GUGGAUUAGAUACCCCAGUAGUCCUAGCCGUAAACGAUGGGCACUUGGUGUUGGGGGUAUUGAGUCCCCCAGUGCCGGAGUUAACACGUUAAGUGCCCCGCCUGGGGAGUACGGUCGCAAGACUGAAACUCAAAGGAAUUGACGGGGGCCCGCACAAGCGGUGGAGCAUGUGGUUCAAUUCGACGCAACGCGAAGAACCUUACCGGGGCUUGAACUGUAACUGCAACUCCUGGAAACAGGGGGUUCUCUUCGGAGACGGUUAUAGAGGUGCUGCACGGCCGUCGUCAACU
rnacentral:rRNA from 1 species